rnacentral:rRNA from 1 species
UUAACACAUGCAAGUCGAGCGAAAGUGCUUAGAACAGAUCUUCUUCGGAGUGAAGAUUUAAGUAUCUUAGCGGCGGAUGGGUGAGUAACGCGUGAGAAACCUGCCAUUCACAAGAGGAUAGCCUCAGGAAACUGGGAUUAAUACUCUAUGAUACUAAUUUAUCUCAUGAUAUUUUAGUUAAAGCGUAAAGCGGUGUUUGAUGGUCUCGCGUCCCAUUAGCUAGUUGGUGAGAUAAAAGCUCACCAAGGCAACGAUGGGUAACCGGCUUGAGAGAGUGAACGGUCACACUGGAACUGAGAACGGUCCAGACUCCUACGGGAGGCAGCAGUGGGGAAUAUUGCACAAUGGAGGAAACUCUGAUGCAGCGACGCCGCGUGAACGAUGAAGGAAUUCGUUUCGUAAAGUUCUGUCCUUGGGGACGAUAAUGACGGUACCCAAGGAGGAAGCCCCGGCUAACUACGUGCCAGCAGCCGCGGUAAUACGUAGGGGGCGAGCGUUGUCCGGAUUUAUUGGGCGUAAAGGGUACGCAGGCGGCCAUAUAAGUCAGGUGUGAAAUCCUAUAGCUUAACUAUAGUAAGCACUUGAAACUGUGUGGCUUGAGUCAAGGAGAGGAAAGUGGAAUUCCUAGUGUAGCGGUGAAAUGCGUAGAUAUUAGGAGGAACACCAGUGGCGAAGGCGACUUUCUGGACUUGUACUGACGCUGAGGUACGAAAGCGUGGGGAGCAAACAGGAUUAGAUACCCUGGUAGUCCACGCCGUAAACGAUGAGUGCUAGGUGUCGGGGGUCAAACCUCGGUGCCGCCGUUAACACAUUAAGCA